AUCGCUUCUCGGCCUUUUGGCUAAGAUCAAGUGUAGUAUCUGUUCUUAUCAGUUUAAUAUCUGAUACGUGCCCUACCCGGGCGCCAUAUAUUAAAUUGAUUUUUGGAGCAGGGAGAUGGAAUAGGGGCUUGCUCCGUCCACUCCACGCAUCGACCCGGUAUUGCAGUACUUCCGGGAACGGUGCACCCCCC
rnacentral:snRNA from 1 species